UCAGGUUGAAAGAGAGAGAGGCCAAAGCUGUCCAUGUCUUUGGGUCCCAAUGCACAAGCAUCAAUCAACACAUGCCAUCCAUUCUCCUGUGCUACGCUCAUCCACAGGUAAGGAUAUCUUGCUCCUGUUACCCUGGAGUGAAGUGGAAACACAAAGAGACCCCUCUUCUUCUUCUUUUUUCUCUUGCUAACAAUCAUCUUCCUCAGUUUUGUUGACUGAAUUCUCAGCCUUGACCAUGAGAACUCUGCUGCCAUGGCCUUGGCUCCUCUCUUCUCUGAGCAACUAAUCAUAGCUUCCACUGCCUCACUCUCAUAGUCAUAAACUGUCAGAAGCUUCUUGCUAGAUUGGAAUGG
rnacentral:lncRNA from 1 species